AUUGAACGCUGGCGGCAUGCCUUACACAUGCAAGUCGAACGGCAGCACGGGUGCUUGCACCUGGUGGCGAGUGGCGAACGGGUGAGUAAUACAUCGGAACAUGUCCUGUAGUGGGGGAUAGCCCGGCGAAAGCCGGAUUAAUACCGCAUACGAUCUACGGAUGACAGCGGGGGACCUUCGGGCCUCCCGCUUUAGGGUUGGCCGAUGGCUGAUUAGCUAGUUGGUGGGGUAAAGGCCUACCAAGGCGACGAUCAGUAGCUGGUCUGAGAGGACGACCAGCCACACUGGGACUGAGACACGGCCCAGACUCCUACGGGAGGCAGCAGUGGGGAAUUUUGGACAAUGGGCGAAAGCCUGAUCCAGCAAUGCCGCGUGUGUGAAGAAGGCCUUCGGGUUGUAAAGCACUUUUGUCCGGAAAGAAAUCCUUGGCCCUAAUACGGUCGGGGGAUGACGGUACCGGAAGAAUAAGCACCGGCUAACUACGUG
rnacentral:rRNA from 1 species